AAUCUUCAACGAGGAAUGCCUAGUAGGCGCAAGUCAGCAGCUUGCGCCGAUUACGUCCCUGCCCUUUGUACACACCGCCCGUCGCUCCUACCGAUUGAGUGUUCCGGUGAAUUAUUCGGACCGUUUUGUGGUGCGUUCGUGCCCGAAAUGGAAAGUUUUGUGAACCUUAACACUUAGAGGAAGGAGAAGUCGUAACAAGGUUUCCGUAGGUGAACCUGCG
rnacentral:rRNA from 1 species